GAUGAACGCUGGCGGCGUGCCUAAUACAUGCAAGUCGAGCGAAUGGAUUAAGAGCUUGCUCUUAUGAAGUUAGCGGCGGACGGGUGAGUAACACGUGGGUAACCUGCCCAUAAGACUGGGAUAACUCCGGGAAACCGGGGCUAGUACCGGAUAACAUUUUGAACCGCAUGGUUCGAAAUUGAAAGGCGGCUUCGGCUGUCACUUAUGGAUGGACCCGCGUCGCAUUAGCUAGUUGGUGAGGUACCGGCUCACCAAGGCAACGAUGCGUAGCCGACCUGAGAGGGUGAUCGGCCACACUGGGACUGAGACACGGCCCAGACUCCUACGGGAGGCAGCAGUAGGGAAUCUUCCGCAAUGGACGAAAGUCUGACGGAGCUACGCCGCGUGAGUGAUGAAGGCUUUCGGGUCGUAAAACUCUGUUGUUAGGGAAGAACAAGUGCUAGUUGAAUAAGCUGGCACCUUGACGGUACCUAACCAGAAAGCCACGGCUAACUACGUGCCAGCCGCCGCAGUAA
rnacentral:rRNA from 1 species